CCCCAAAAUAUAUGAGACUCUU
rnacentral:snRNA from 1 species